rnacentral:rRNA from 1 species
GACGAACGCUGGCGGCGUGCUUAACACAUGCAAGUCGAACGGAAAGACCCUGCUUUUGUGGGGUGCUCGAGUGGCGAACGGGUGAGUAACACGUGAGUAACCUGCCCUUGACUUUGGGAUAACUUCAGGAAACUGGGGCUAAUACCGGAUAGGAGCUCCUGCUGCAUGGUGGGGGUUGGAAAGUUUCGGCGGUUGGGGAUGGACACGCGGCUUAUCAGCUUGUUGGUGGGGUAGUGGCUUACCAAGGCUUUGACGGGUAGCCGGCCUGAGAGGGUGACCGGCCACAUUGGGACUGAGAUACGGCCCAGACUCCUACGGGAGGCAGCAGUGGGGAAUAUUGCACAAUGGGCGGAAGCCUGAUGCAGCAACGCCGCGUGCGGGAUGACGGCCUUCGGGUUGUAAACCGCUUUCGCCUGUGACGAAGCGUGAGUGACGGUAAUGGGUAAAGAAGCACCGGCUAACUACGUG